ACUAGAAAAGGAACUGAUAGGUAUGAAUCUUCAAAAGAUGUGAUGCAGUCAACAAUCCACAUAGACCAGAAUUUUUUUUUGCCUAGAGGGUUCCUGAGUAUCAGAGUUCUUUUUGUUCUGCAUAUAAUGGAGUCAUGGAGUUGAUGUUAGUUGUUUGUUUAUUUUUGGUAUAAAUUACUGUAGUUCUUUCUUUAGUAUCUAUAGCUUUUUGGUUAUAUUACUUCUAAGAUUCUCUUUAAAAUUGCCAUCUUUGGUCAUAGAGAAAAUGCAUAUGCAUGUUUAUUUGAAAAUUUUGAAAUAGUGAAUUGGUUAUUUGUGAUCUUUUGAUUGUUCAAGAAUCAAAAGAGUGAAACACUCAAAAUCUUAUUGAGUCCUAUGACACUCGGGGACUACAAUGCAAGGUUUAGUAGUGCACAAAUUAGUAAUAAUAGGAAUUAGUAGUGAAGAGAUUAGUAAAGACUGAAUUAGAAAUAAAUUUUGGAAGUCUUUUAAUAGAAAGUGCAACAUUAUCAGCUGGAAAAUCUCCAAGCAUGCUUUGAUCAUUCUGAAAGGUAAAACUCUCUUGCUCAGCUUCUCUGAUAAUCUGCCCAUUAUUCUCGACGGUUCCAAGCAGAGUCCACAGAAUUAAUUGUUGCAAGCCAAAGCAACACUACCAACAGUUUGUUUAAUUUGUCUUAAGAAUCAAAACUCAUGUCCUUUGCAAAUACUUACACUGC
rnacentral:lncRNA from 1 species